rnacentral:RNase_P_RNA from 1 species
GCGAGCCAGAGGGCGGCUCACGGCGCUCCAAUAGAGCGCUGAGGAAAUUCCAUCCACCAUCGUGGGACCCGAGCGCCGCGAGGCGCAAGCCGAGAGGCUUGGCUCUGGAGCAGAAACCGGUGAAAAGGCUGCAAACGACACGUCCACUUGCGGGAUGACGAUGAAGCGGCUGAGGGGCUCCCGAGAAGGCGCUUGGCGACAAGCGCCGAGAUAACCCGCUGAGGAUGCAGGUGGGACCGUUGAAACGGCCAUCCUCGGGGGUGCAAGCCCAAAUAGGCUGCCGAUGACGCCCACGGGAGGCGGCGGGUAGGGCGCAUAGCCGAAUGCCGCCAAGAGGCCGUUGGUAACAACGGUCUCCCAACAGAAGAUGGAUUACUCCUGGCACGC